rnacentral:rRNA from 11 species
GAAGAACAUGAAGUACCCGAGCGUCAAGAGCCCGAGGUGAAUGCACUUCUGCUUGCCCUCGGCUCGCCCCAUCAUCUCACCGGCGCUGAGGUGGGCUUCGGCCAGCUCGU